CGUUUUUUUUGUUUUUUUCGGAGCACUGCUAUCGGGUUCCGACUAAGCCAUGCGAGUCAUGGGGUCGCAAGACACCGGCGCACGGCUCAGUAACACGCGGAUAAUCUAUCCUCUGGUGGGGGAUAACCUCGGGAAACUGAGGCUAAUACCCCAUAGAUAAUCAAUGCUGGAAGGCUUGGUUAUUGAAAGCGUAAGCGCCAGAGGGUGAGUCUGCGGCCUAUCAGGUAGUAGGUGGUGUAACGGACCACCUAGCCAAAGACGGGUACGGGCCUUGAGAGAGGGAGCCCGGAGAUGGGUUCUGAGACACGAACCCAGGCCCUACGGGGCGCAGCAGGCGCGAAACCUUCGCAUUGCGCGAAAGCGCGACGAGGGGAACCCGAGUGCCUCUCCAUUUCGGGGAGGCUUUUCACAAACCUAAAAAGUUUGUGGAAUAAGGGCUGGGCAAGACGGGUGCCAGCCGCCGCGGUAAUACCCGCAGCUCGAGUGGUGGUCGCUUUUAUUGAGCUUAAAACGUUCGUAGUCGGCCUUGUAAAUCCCUGGGUAAAUCGGGCCGCUUAACGGUUCGAAUUCCGGGGAGACUGCAAGGCUAGGGACCGGGCGAGGUUAGAGGUACUUUCGGGGUAGGAGUGAAAUCCUGUAAUCCCGAAGGGACCACCUGUGGCGAAAGCGUCUAACUUGAACGGCUCCGACGAUGAGGAACGAAGGCUAGGGGAGCAAACCGGAUUAGAUACCCGGGUAGUCCUAGCUGUAAACCCUGCCCGCUUGGUGUGGCUUGUCCUUUGGGGGCAGGCUGUGCCGGAGCGAAGGUGUUAAGCGGGCUGCUUGGGGAGUACGGCCGCAAGGUGAAACUAAAGAAUGCGGGGAGCACGCACCGAGACC
rnacentral:rRNA from 1 species